UGCUAUAGAAGACAUGGGAUUUGAGGCUUCAGUCGUUUCUGAAAGCUGUUCUACUAACCCUCUUGGAAAUCACAGUGCUGGGAAUUCCAUGGUGCAAACUACAGGUGGUACACCUACAUCUGUGCAGGAAGUGGCUCCCCACGCUGGGAGGCUCCCUGCAAACCAUGCCCCAGACAUCUUGGCAAAGUCCCCACAAUCAACCAGAGCAGUGGCACCGCAGAAGUGCUUCUUACAGAUCAAAGGCAUGACCUGUGCAUCCUGUGUGUCUAACAUAGAAAGGAAUCUGCAGAAAGAAGCUGGUGUUCUCUCCGUGUUGGUUGCCUUGAUGGCAGGAAAGGCAGAGGUCAAGUAUGACCCAGAGGUCAUCCAGCCACUCGAGAUAGCUCAGUUCAUCCAGGACCUGGGCUUUGAGGCAGCAGUCAUGGAGGACUACGCAGGCUCCGAUGGCAACAUUGAGCUGACGAUCACAGGGAUGACCUGCGCGUCCUGUGUCCACAACAUAGAGUCCAAACUCACGAGGACAAAUGGCAUCACUUAUGCCUCCGUUGCCCUUGCCACCAGCAAAGCCCUUGUUAAGUUUGACCCAGAAAUUAUCGGUCCACGGGAUAUUAUCAAAAUUAUUGAGGUAAGUAAUUCAUUAAAAAAUUGUAGUCACCUUUUUAAAAACAGUAAUAUAUAAUCAGUGAAGAAAAAUGAGAAAAUAUAGCUAAGAAAAAAUGAAAA
rnacentral:sRNA from 1 species